rnacentral:rRNA from 1 species
GAUGAACGCUGGCGGCAGGCCUAACACAUGCAAGCCGAACGGACCUUUCGGGGUUAGUGGCGGACGGGUGAGUAACACGUGGGAACGUGCCUUUAGGUUCGGAAUAGCUCCUGGAAACGGGUGGUAAUGCCGAAUGUGCCCUUAGGGGGAAAGAUUUAUCGCCUUUAGAGCGGCCCGCGUCUGAUUAGCUAGUUGGUGAGGUAAUGGCUCACCAAGGCUACGAUCAGUAGCUGGUCUGAGAGGAUGACCAGCCACAUUGGGACUGAGACACGGCCCAAACUCCUACGGGAGGCAGCAGUGGGGAAUCUUGCGCAAUGGGCGAAAGCCUGACGCAGCCAUGCCGCGUGGAUGAUGAAGGUCUUAGGAUUGUAAAAUCCUUUCACCGGUGAAGAUAAUGACUGUAGCCGGAGAAGAAGCCCCGGCUAACUUCGUGCCAGCAGCCGCAGUAA